rnacentral:misc_RNA from 1 species
UUAAAAGGUUAUAAGUAAAGGUAACAGUUACAAAUUUUAAAAAUUUCAAGGGUUACAACAAAAAUUUUCAAAAUCUGGUGGGGGGGAGGGGGCAAGUAUGUUUUUCUAAAUUUAUAGAUAAUAUUUAUGUAUAAAUAGAAAUUUUGCAAAGUUUGGAGGGGUCAUGGUUCCAACAACCUAGGUUUUCCACCUGUGGUGAUUUUAAACAUGCAUAUGUGAAAACUUCUCAUGAUGGAAUUCUUGUUGAACAAAUUUAUAAAUGUGUUGCAUUGAAGUUGGCAUGCCCUAUUAUAUGUCUGUUCUUUUUUGGGUGAAUAUAGAAGAAAUCUUGCAAUUUUUCUUCUUCUCCUUGUUCUUUUAUUUCAUAUUUGUUCUCCUCUCGUUCUAAGUUCUAACCUUUUUCUUUUUUCCUUGUUAAUUUUUGUUGUGCAAUCA